CAGUAGCCGCGGUAAUACAGAGGGUGCGAGCGUUAAUCGGAUUUACUGGGCGUAAAGCGUGCGUAGGCGGCUUCUUAAGUCGGAUGUGAAAUCCCUGAGCUUAACUUAGGAAUUGCAUUCGAUACUGGGAAGCUAGAGUAUGGGAGAGGAUGGUAGAAUUCCAGGUGUAGCGGUGAAAUGCGUAGAGAUCUGGAGGAAUACCGAUGGCGAAGGCAGCCAUCUGGCCUAAUACUGACGCUGAGGUACGAAAGCAUGGGGAGCAAACAGGAUUAGAUACCCCAGUAGUCCAUGUCUCUUAUAC
rnacentral:rRNA from 1 species